CAGAGGGGGCAAGCGUUAUUCGGAAUUAUUGGGCGUAAAGGGCGCGUAGGCGGCUUGGCAAGUGGAAGGUGAAAUCCCUCGGCUUAACAGAGGAACUGCCCUCCAAACUGCUUUGCUUGAGGCCGGGAGAGGUGAGUGGAAUUCCCAGUGUAGCGGUGAAAUGCGUAGAUAUUGGGAGGAACACCAGUGGCGAAGGCGGCUCACUGGACCGGUUCUGACGCUGAUGCGCGAAAGCGUGGGGAGCAAACGGGAUUAGAUACCCCGGUAGUCCACGCCGUAAACGAUGAGUGCUUGGUGUAGCGGGUAUCGACCCCUGCUGUGCCGAAGUCAACACAUUAAGCACUCCGCCUGGGGAGUACGGUCGCAAGGCUG
rnacentral:rRNA from 1 species